rnacentral:ncRNA from 1 species
CAGAGUAGGCGCGGACGCGUGAAGUGCCGUCGGGACGGGGAGUUGCCCGGCGGACGAAGGAACGUUCCGCGGUGUCCGCGCCGCAUCCCGCUG